UACGAAGGGGGCUAGCGUUGCUCGGAAUCACUGGGCGUAAAGCGCACGUAGGCGGCUUUUAAGUCAGAGGUGAAAUCCUGGAGCUCAAAUCCAGAACUGCCUUUGAUACUGGAGAGCUUGAGUCCGGGAGAGGUGAGUGGAACUGCGAGUGUAGAGGUGAAAUUCGUAGAUAUUCGCAAGAACACCAGUGGCGAAGGCGGACUCA
rnacentral:rRNA from 1 species